rnacentral:rRNA from 1 species
UACGUAGGGUGCGAGCGUUAAUCGGAAUACUGGGCGUAAAGCGUGCGCAGGCGGCGCGUUAAGACAGGUGUGAAAUCCCCAGGCUUAACCUGGGAACUGCGUCGGAUACUGGAUGGCUUGAAUUCGGGAGAGGGAUGCAGAAUUCCAGGUGUAGCGGUGAAAUGCGUAGAUAUCUGGAGGAAUACCGGUGGCGAAGGCGGCAUCCUGGACCGACAUUGACGCUGAACGGCGAAAGCUAGGGGAGCAAACGGG